rnacentral:lncRNA from 10 species
CAAUGACAACACUUUGUUCAAACAGGGCUGAGCAUUUUGGGCUGUGGGAAAACAGAAGAGAGGCUCCUCACUCAGUCAUGAUGUGUCCAGAAAGGAGUCCCAGAGAAAAUAACAUCUGAUCUGAGAAAAGAGAGAAACAAGGAGCAGAAGUUAGGGGUACUAACUGGAAGAAAGGAAUGCGAAUGAUUACCAAUCCUGCUGCAAGUGCUUAAAGAAGAUGGAAUCAGAGUGUGGGAACCAGGCUGAACUACAUGACUGACAGUAGAUGACCGCCACUGCCACGGGAUCCACAGGGUCCACAAAGUGGGGAGCCUGAAGGUGACAUCUUGUUGGUUUGGAGAUGAUUUAUUCGCUCGUGUUGUAAAAUCUAAAAUGACACUCCUGGGAAGAGGAAGGAACUAUAAGGACCCGUGUGACCCAUUGCUGUCUGCCUGAAGCCCUGGCGCUCUGACCUGAGUGCACCGGGGUUAGGUGUCUCAGCCAAAAUGCAGGACUGCACGACGUCUAACACAUGGGAGAGAUGCUCUGAAACAUGGGGGUGGGUAUUCACUGCAUUCCAGAGUUGGGGGAUCUGGAGACCCAGUGAGUCCUUCGGACUUCACAGGCCUGUCUCCCCACACUUCAAAUUCCAAAUCGUCCUUCACCCAAAAGUGGGUAGGAGUCACUGGACUAUCAAUUUCCCCAAAAUUCUAAGAGAAGGAGGUAACCCGGGCCCCUACUUCUGCAUGUAAAAUAAACCGAAAUCACCACCUCUUGGCUGGCCUUGACAUUCAGCUCUGGGGACUCAGUGAGGCACUUAAUCCUGUAUUUCACCUCCUCUAAAGAGAAAAGUUUCCAAGCUACCCUUAAAGCUUUAUAUUUCAUUGGCUCCCCUCUUCAACGAGAUAAUUGAAGCUCAAAUUUAGACUGCCAGUGGGCCCCAGAGUCCCAGGAUGGUGCUGCAUAAGAAAAUUUCUGGCGCCAGGGUUGUUGCA